GAUGAACGCUAGCGGGAGGCCUAACACAUGCAAGCCGAGCGGUAUUGUUUCUUCGGAAAUGAGAGAGCGGCGUACGGGUGCGGAACACGUGUGCAACCUGCCUUUAUCUGGGGGAUAGCCUUUCGAAAGGAAGAUUAAUACUCCAUAAUAUAUUGAACGGCAUCGUUUAAUAUUGAAAGCUCCGGCGGAUAGAGAUGGGCACGCGCAAGAUUAGCUAGUUGGUGAGGUAACGGCUCACCAAGGCGAUGAUCUUUAGGGGGCCUGAGAGGGUGAUCCCCCACACUGGUACUGAGACACGGACCAGACUCCUACGGGAGGCAGCAGUGAGGAAUAUUGGUCAAUGGGUGCAAGCCUGAACCAGCCAUCCCGCGUGAAGGACGACUGCCCUAUGGGUUGUAAACUUCUUUUGUAUAGGGAUAAACCUACCCUCGUGAGGGUAGCUGAAGGUACUAUACGAAUAAGCACCGGCUAACUCCGUGCCAGCAGCCGCGGUAAUACGGAGGGUGCAAGCGUUAUCCGGAUUUAUUGGGUUUAAAGGGUCCGUAGGCGGACUUAUAAGUCAGUGGUGAAAGCCUGUCGCUUAACGAUAGAACUGCCAUUGAUACUGUAAGUCUUGAGUAUAUUUGAGGUAGCUGGAAUAAGUAGUGUAGCGGUGAAAUGCAUAGAUAUUACUUAGAACACCAAUUGCGAAGGCAGGUUACCAAGAUAUAACUGACGCUGAGGGACGAAAGCGUGGGGAGCGAACAGGAUUAGAUACCCUGGUAGUCCACGCCGUAAACGAUGCUAACUCGUUUUUGGGCUUUAGGGUUCAGAGACCAAGCGAAAGUGAUAAGUUAGCCACCUGGGGAGUACGCUCGCAAGAGUGAAACUCAAAGGGAUUGACGGGGGCCCGCACAAGCGGUGGAUUAUGUGGUUUAAUUCGAUGAUACGCGAGGAACCUUACCAAGACUUAAAUGGGAAUUGACAGCUUUAGAAAUAGAGCUUUCUUCGGACAAUUUUCAAGGUGCUGCAUGGUUGUCGUCAGCUCGUGCCGUGAGGUGUUAGGUUAAGUCCUGCAACGAGCGCAACCCCUGUCACUAGUUGCCAUCAUUCAGUUGGGGACUCUAGUGAGACUGCCUACGCAAGUAGAGAGGAAGGUGGGGAUGACGUCAAAUCAUCACGGCCCUUACGUCUUGGGCCACACACGUAAUACAAUGGCCGGUACAGAGGGCAGCUACACAGCGAUGUGAUGCAAAUCUCGAAAGCCGGUCUCAGUUCGGAUUGGAGUCUGCAACUCGACUCUAUGAAGCUGGAAUCGCUAGUAAUCGCGCAUCAGCCAUGGCGCGGUGAAUACGUUCCCGGGCCU
rnacentral:rRNA from 1 species